rnacentral:rRNA from 1 species
CUAGCCGUAAACGAUGGGUACUAGGUGUUGGGGGUGACAAUCCCCCAGUGCCGCAGUUAACGCAUUAAGUACCCCGCCUGGGGACUACGGCCGCAAGGCUGAAACUCAAAGGAAUUGACGGGGGCCCGCACAAGCAGCGGAGCAUGUGGUUUAAUUCGAUGCAACGCGAAAAACCUUACCAGGGCUUGACAUCCUCUGAAGCUAUAAGAGAUUAUAGUGUCCCUUCGGGGCAGAGUGACAGGUGG